UGGUGGAGUGAUUUGUCUGGUUAAUUCCGUUAACGAACGAGACCUCCGCCUGCUAAAUAAUUUGCAUGCAAUUGAUUUUGCGUGUCUAAAUUACUUAGAGGGACUUUUAGUGAUUAACUAAAGGAAGUUGGAGGCAAUAACA
rnacentral:rRNA from 1 species